rnacentral:rRNA from 1 species
AUUGAACGCUGGCGGCAGGCCUAACACAUGCAAGUCGAGCGGAUGAAGGGAGCUUGCUCCUGGAUUCAGCGGCGGACGGGUGAGUAAUGCCUAGGAAUCUGCCUGGUAGUGGGGGAUAACGUCCGGAAACGGGCGCUAAUACCGCAUACGUCCUGAGGUAGAAAGUGGGGGAUCUUCGGACCUCACGCUAUCAGAUGAGCCUAGGUCGGAUUAGCUAGUUGGUGGGGUAAAGGCCUACCAAGGCGACGAUCCGUAACUGGUCUGAGAGGAUGAUCAGUCACACUGGAACUGAGACACGGUCCAGACUCCUACGGGAGGCAGCAGUGGGGAAUAUUGGACAAUGGGCGAAAGCCUGAUCCAGCCAUGCCGCGUGUGUGAAGAAGGUCUUCGGAUUGUAAAGCACUUUAAGUUGGGAGGAAGGGCAGUAAGUUAAUACCUGGCUGUUUUGAUGUUACCAACAGAAUAAGCACCGGCUAACUUCGUG